rnacentral:rRNA from 1 species
AUUGAACGCUGGCGGAAUGCUUUACACAUGCAAGUCGAACGGCAGCACGGGAGCUUGCUCCUGGUGGCGAGUGGCGAACGGGUGAGUAACGCGUCGGAACGUACCGAGUAAUGGGGGAUAACGCAGCGAAAGCUGUGCUAAUACCGCAUACGCCCUGAGGGGGAAAGUGGGGGAUCGCAAGACCUCACGUUAUUCGAGCGGCCGACGUCUGAUUAGCUUGUUGGUGGGGUAAUGGCCUACCAAGGCGACGAUCAGUAGCGGGUCUGAGAGGAUGAUCCGCCACACUGGAACUGAGACACGGUCCAGACUCCUACGGGAGGCAGCAGUGGGAAUUUUGGACAAUGGGGGCAACCCUGAUCCAGCCAUUCCGCGUGAGUGAAGAAGGCCUUCGGGUUGUAAAGCUCUUUCAGCUGGAACGAAACGGUACAUCCUAAUACGGUGUGCUAAUGACGGUACCAGCAGAAGAAGCACCGGCUAACUACGUGCCAGCAGCCGCGGUAAUACGUAGGGUGCGAGCGUUAAUCGGAAUUACUGGGCGUAAAGCGUGCGCAGGCGGAUUGUUAAGCAAGAUGUGAAAUCCCCGGGCUUAACCUGGGAAUGGCAUUUUGAACUGGCAGUCUAGAGUGUGUCAGAGGGGGGUGGAAUUCCACGUGUAGCAGUGAAAUGCGUAGAGAUGUGGAGGAACACCAAUGGCGAAGGCAGCCCCCUGGGAUAACACUGACGCUCAUGUACGAAAGCGUGGGUAGCAAACAGGAUUAGAUACCCUGGUAGUCCACGCCCUAAACGAUGUCAACUGGUUGUUGGGGGAGUGAAAUCCCUUAGUAACGAAGCUAACGCGUGAAGUUGACCGCCUGGGGAGUACGGUCGCAAGAUUAAAACUCAAAGGAAUUGACGGGGACCCGCACAAGCGGUGGAUGAUGUGGAUUAAUUCGAUGCAACGCGAAAAACCUUACCUACCCUUGACAUGUCCAGAACCCUGCAGAGAUGCGGGGGUGCCCGAAAGGGAAUUGGAACACAGGUGCUGCAUGGCUGUCGUCAGCUCGUGUCGUGAGAUGUUGGGUUAAGUCCCGCAACGAGCGCAACCCUUAUCAUUAGUUGCUACGCAAGGGCACUCUAAUGAGACUGCCGGUGACAAACCGGAGGAAGGUGGGGAUGACGUCAAGUCCUCAUGGCCCUUAUGGGUAGGGCUUCACACGUCAUACAAUGGUCGGUACAGAGGGUUGCCAAGCCGCGAGGUGGAGCCAAUCCCAGAAAGCCGAUCGUAGUCCGGAUUGUUCUCUGCAACUCGAGAGCAUGAAGUCGGAAUCGCUAGUAAUCGCGGAUCAGCAUGUCGCGGUGAAUACGUUCCCGGGUCU